rnacentral:lncRNA from 1 species
UUUUUAUUAAAAAAACAUUGUCUCGAGGGCUUCCUAAUUUCACGACUGAUUAGUAAGGGCAAAAGUGUAGCCGUACGCCGCGCUCGGCUUUUCUACAUACCUUUCUCUUGGGCAUGUUGAGUUUGGGAUAUUUUUCUUCUUUUAUGCAAAACUAACACGUUAUCUUUAGUGAUUCGGAGUUCACAGUUCAGGAGACUGUCGUCCGCUAUGCACUAAUUCUGUAGUAAACACAGAGCUACAUUAGAGCCAGUGGUUGAAUGGGAGGGUGGGGGCGGGGCCACGCUGUGACUGACGUUCCGCUUGUCCAAUCAGCGGGCGUCUGGGUCCGCCACCGACGAGGCAGAUUAUUACCUCCGCUGUGCUUUUACGCGCGAAAUCCUGAGCCAUAGGCCUACAAGGAAUCCCACUCUAAAACAUUUGGUGGCUAUCAUCA